AGUGAACGCUGGCGGUAGGCCUAAUACAUGCAAGUCGAACGGACGCACAGUAGUAGUUUGCUCUUCCGGGUGGCGCGUCGCGGACGGGUGUGGCAUACAUCGAACUCUCCUUUUUCGCGGGGGUUACCGUAGGGAAACUUACGCUAUUACCGCAUAUGACCAACGUGUGAUAGCAGAGGAUCUUCGGACCUUGCGCGUUUGACUGAUCCGACGUCGUAUUAGCUAGUUGGCGGGGUAAAGGCUCACCAAGGCAACGAUCCGUAGCUGAUCUGAGAGGAUGAUCGGCCACACUGGGACUGAGACACGGUCCAGACUCCUACGGGAGGCAGCAGUGGGGAAUAUUGCGCAAUGGACGCAAGUCUGACCCAGCCAUGCCGCGUGAGUGAAGAAGGCCUUCGGGUUGUAAAGCUCUGUUGUUGGGGAAGAACAGCAGCGUGAUAAUACGAAGCUGUUUUGACGGUACCCAAAGAAAAAGCACCGGCUAACUUCGUG
rnacentral:rRNA from 1 species